rnacentral:rRNA from 1 species
CACGUAGGGCGCAAGCGUUGUCCGGAAUUAUUGGGCGUAAAGAGCUCGUAGGCGGUCUGUUGCGUCCGCUGUGAAAACUCGGGGCUUAACCCCGAGCCUGCAGUGGAUACGGGCAGACUAGAGGUAGGUAGGGGAGAAUGGAAUUCCCGGUGUAGCGGUGAAAUGCGCAGAUAUCAGGAGGAACACCGGUGGCGAAGGCGGCAUCCUGGACCGGCACUGACGCUGAGGCACGAAGGCCAGGGGAGCAAACGGG